rnacentral:rRNA from 1 species
UCCAUCAUGCCUAACGGCUGACCAGCACUUGCAGGAAUGAGAGUUAAUAUAAUAAGUUAUUAACUUGCUUGACUAGGUCUUAUAAAGUUCUGGAUAAAGCUUAUUAUGAAAACUUUAUAUCCAUAGGUCUCGACCAAAUCUUGUGCCAGCAGUCGCGGUAAGACAAGGGAGACGAGUGUUAUUCAUCUUUAACAGGUAUAUAGGGUACCUAGACGGUGUGCAAUGGCUUAAAUAAGUACCUGGUACACUUGAGUUUGAUAUGUGAGAGGAAUAUGUCGGAAUUGUUGGAGGAAAGAUGAAAUUUGUUAAUACCAAUAGGACUGAUAACGGCGAAGGCAAACCUCUAUGUACAUGUACUUGCUAUUUCUGUUUUUAUUAUAGCAAAAUAGCAAUGUACUAUAACUGACGUUGAGGGACGAAGGCUCACACAGUGAAGAGGAUUGAAUACCCCCGUAACCUGGGCAGACAAUGAUGAGUGCCAUACGUUGGCUGUAUUGCGGAGCUAUAUAUGAAAGGAGAGGCACUCCACCUCACCAAAAUGUUAGCGGCGCAAGAACUGAAAUCAUUAUCACCGUUUCUGAUACCAAAAACAGGAAGGAAGAUAUUGUAUUCAAUGGCGCCGCAGGCGAGA